rnacentral:misc_RNA from 1 species
AGCAGCCGCGGUAAUUCCAGCUCCAAUAGCGUAUAUUAAAGUUGUUGCAGUUAAAAAGCUCGUAGUUGAACUUCGGGGUUUACUCAUUGGUCAGGCUUAAUUGUCUGUACUGGUGAGAUGAAUCUCUACCUUCUGAGGAACUUUCAUGCCAUUUAUUUGGUGUGAUUGGAAAUCAGGACUGUUACUUUGAAAAAUUAGAGUGUUUAAAGCAGGCUAACGUCUGAAUACAUUAGCAUGGAAUAAUGAAAUAGGACGGAUUGAUUCUAUUUCGUUGGUUUCUAGGGUCACCGUAAUGAUUAAUAGGGAUAGUUGGGGGCAUUAGUAUUCAAUUGUCAGAGGUGAAAUUCUUGGAUUUAUUGAAGACUAACUACUGCGAAAGCAUUUGCCAAGGAUGUUUUCAUUAAUCAAGAACGAAAGUUAGGGGAUCGAAGACGAUCAGAUACCGUCGUAGUCUUAACCAUAAACUAUGCCGACUAGGGAUCGGACGUAAGUUAAUUAAUAAUGAACGCGUUCGGCUACC